GAUGAACGCUGGCGGCGUGCUUAACACAUGCAAGUCGAGCGAAGCAGUUAAGUUGAUUUCUUCGGAUUGAUUCUUGACUGACUGAGCGGCGGACGGGUGAGUAACGCGUGGGUGACCUGCCCCAUACCGGGGGAUAACAGCUGGAAACGGCUGCUAAUACCGCAUAAGCGCACAGAGCUGCAUGGCUCGGUGUGAAAAACUCCGGUGGUAUGGGAUGGGCCCGCGUCUGAUUAGGCAGUUGGCGGGGUAACGGCCCACCAAACCGACGAUCAGUAGCCGGCCUGAGAGGGCGACCGGCCACAUUGGGACUGAGACACGGCCCAAACUCCUACGGGAGGCAGCAGUGGGGAAUAUUGCACAAUGGGGGAAACCCUGAUGCAGCGACGCCGCGUGAGCGAAGAAGUAUUUCGGUAUGUAAAGCUCUACCAGCAGGGAAGAUAAUGACGGUACCUGACUAAGAAGCCCCGGCUAACUACGUGCCAGCAGCCGCCGUAA
rnacentral:rRNA from 1 species